AAAUUCCUCUUAUAACAAAGAAGCAGAGUGUCUGACACAAUUUGAGCUUGCUAGAGCAAGAAAGUCUAACGUAUUCCGGUGUUCUCUCUUUGUGGGAUAAGCCGUUAUAUAGACUUUAAUAGU